AAGGUAGGCUAGAUGAUCGCGGGCGGCCUUCGGGCCGCGUGAGGAAAGUCCGGGCUCCAUAGGACAUGACGCCGGGUAACACCCGGGAGCGGUAACGCUAUAGAGAGCACCACAGAAAAGAUACCGCCGGCUUGCCGGUAAGGGUGAAAUGGUGGGGUAAGAGCCCACCGCACCACUGGUAACAGGGGUGGCAGGGUAAGCCUCGUCAGGAGCAAUACCAAGCAGCAGGUAGGGUAGUCCGUCCAAAGCCUGCGGGUC
rnacentral:RNase_P_RNA from 1 species